rnacentral:rRNA from 1 species
UGAGUGCGAGCGGCUACGGCCGCGAAGUGGGUGAUGUCAAGCUUCCAAGAAAAGCCCUAUACCCGUUAAGGCAUGAUGGCCUGUACCCGAAACCGACACAGGUGGGGUGGUAGAGAAUACCGAGGGGCGCGAGGUAACUCUCUCUAAGGAACUCGGCAAAAUGGCCCCGUAACUUCGGGAGAAGGGGUGCCACCGCAAGGUGGUCGCAGUGAAGAGGCCCAGGCGACUGUUUACCAAAAACACAGGUCUCCGCUAAGUCGCAAGACGAUGUAUGGGGGCUGACGCCUGCCCAGUGCCGGAAGGUUAAGGAAGCUGGUCAGCGCAAGCGAAGCUGGCGACUGAAGCCCCGGUGAACGGCGGCCGUAACGAUAACGGUCCUAAGGUAGCGAAAUUCCUUGUCGGGUAAGUUCCGACCCGCACGAAAGGCGUAACGAUCUGGGCGCUGUCUCGGAGAGAGGCUCGGCGAAAUAGAAUUGUCUGUGAAGAUGCGGACUACGUGCACCCGGACAGAAAGACCCUAUGAAGCUUUACUGUAGCUUGGUAUUGUGCCCGGGCUCUGAAUGCGCAGGAUAGGUGGGAGGCUUUGAUCCAUGGCUUGCGGGUCAUGGUGAGCCAACGGUGAGAUACCACUCUUUCAGAGCUAGGGUUCUAACGGUCACCCGUCAUCCGGGGACCGGACAGUAUCAGGUGGGCAGUUUGACUGGGGCGGUCGCCUCCUAAAAGGUAACGGAGGCGCACAAAGGUUUGCUCAGGCUGGUUGGAAAUCAGCCGACGAGUGCAAAAGCAGAAGCAAGCUUGACUGUGAGACCUACAAGUCGAACAGGGACGAAAGUCGGCUUUAGUGAUCCGACGGUUCUGAGUGGAAGGGCCGUCGCUCAACGGAUUAAAGUUACUCUAGGAUAACAGGCUGAUCUCCCCCAAGAGUUCACAUCGACGGGGAGGUUUGGCACCUCGAUGUCGGCUCAUCGCAACCUGGGGCUGAAGUCGGUCCCAAGGGUUGGGCUGUUCGCCCAUUAAAGCGGUACGCGAGCUGGGUUCAGAACGUCGUGAGACAGUUCGGUCCAUAUCCGGUGCACGCGCAGGAACAUUGAGAGGAUUUCUCCCUAGUACGAGAGGACCGGGAGGAACGCACCUCUGGUGUGCCAGUUAUCGUGCCAACGGUAAACGCUGGGUAGCCAUGUGCGGAGUGGAUAACCGCUGAAAGCAUCUAAGUGGGAAGCCCACCUCAAGAUGAGUGUUCCCAUGGCAUAAGCCAGUAAGGUCACGGGAAGAACACCCGUUGAUAGGCUCUACGUGGAAGCCGGGUAACCGGUGAAGCGGAGGAGUACUAAUAGACCGAGGGCUU